ensembl:miRNA
UGCCCUGCAGCUUCCUAGGCUGGCUGUAUUUGGAGAGCCCGGGGAGCCACAGGCUUC